AUUGAACGCUGGCGGCAGGCCUAACACAUGCAAGUCGAGCGGAAACGAUGGAAGCUUGGUUCCAGGCGUCGAGCGGCGGACGGGUGAGUAAUGCAUGGGAAUCUGCCCGAUAGUGGGGGAUAACCUGGGGAAACCCAGGCUAAUACCGCAUACGUCCUACGGGAGAAAGCAGGGGAUCUUCGGACCUUGCGCUAUCGGAUGAGCCCAUGUCGGAUUAGCUUGUUGGUGAGGUAAUGGCUCACCAAGGCGACGAUCCGUAGCUGGUCUGAGAGGAUGAUCAGCCACAUCGGGACUGAGACACGGCCCGAACUCCUACGGGAGGCAGCAGUGGGGAAUAUUGGACAAUGGGCGAAAGCCUGAUCCAGCCAUGCCGCGUGUGUGAAGAAGGCCCUCGGGUUGUAAAGCACUUUCAGUGGGGAAGAAAGCCUUGGGAUUAAUACUCCCGAGGAAGGACAUCACCCACAGAAGAAGCACCGGCUAACUCCGUGCCAGCAGCCGCGGUAAUACGGAGGGUGCGAGCGUUAAUCGGAAUUACUGGGCGUAAAGCGCGCGUAGGCGGUCUGAUAAGCCGGUUGUGAAAGCCCCGGGCUCAACCUGGGAACGGCAUCCGGAACUGUCAGGCUAGAGUGCAGGAGAGGAAGGUAGAAUUCCCGGUGUAGCGGUGAAAUGCGUAGAGAUCGGGAGGAAUACCAGUGGCGAAGGCGGCCUUCUGGACUGACACUGACGCUGAGGUGCGAAAGCGUGGGUAGCAAACA
rnacentral:rRNA from 1 species